rnacentral:tRNA from 1 species
GUCUCGGUAGUCUAAAGGCUUAGGACGCUCGCACGGAAUGCAAGAGAUCCGGGUUCGACUCCCAGCUGAGGCA